AUUUAAAUAGUUUAAAAAAAAUUUUGAUUUGUGGAGUCAAAGAUGCUGAGAAGCUUUAAAUA
rnacentral:tRNA from 1 species